rnacentral:tRNA from 1 species
GAGAUAUUAAGUAAAUAUAGAAGAUUAUGCCUUACAAGCAGAGGGUCGCUGGUUCGAAUCCAGCAGUUCCCACAA